GAGAGUUUGAUCAUGGCUCAGAUUGAACGCUGGCGGCAUGCUUUACACAUGCAAGUCGAGCGGCAGCGCGGGGGCAACCCUGGCGGCGAGCGGCGAACGGGUGAGUAAUGCAUCGGAACGUACCCUGGAGUGGGGGAUAACGCCGCGAAAGCGGCGCUAAUACCGCAUAUGCUCUGAGGAGGAAAGUGGGGGACCGCAAGGCCUCACGCUCUGGGAGCGGCCGAUGUCCGAUUAGCUAGUUGGUGGGGUAAAGGCUUACCAAGGCGACGAUCGGUAGCUGGUCUGAGAGGAUGAUCAGCCACACUGGGACUGAGACACGGCCCAGACUCCUACGGGAGGCAGCAGUGGGGAAUUUUGGACAAUGGGGGCAACCCUGAUCCAGCCAUGCCGCGUGAGUGAAGAAGGCCUUCGGGUUGUAAAGCUCUUUUUGGUCGGGAAGAAAGCGCCUUGCCUAAUACGCGAGGUGAUUGACGGUACCGGCAGAAUAAGCACCGGCUAACUACGUG
rnacentral:rRNA from 1 species